AUCGUCCAUCAGAAGUGUUAACAUAGAUCUCUAUGCCGAUGAGGAUUUGGGCAACACACCUAUGAACGAAGAAGUGAAGGAGGAGAUUGUAGUUUACCUAUUCCAGUGAAGGGCAAGAUAUAGACUUUAAAUCAAGCAUUAGGUAAUAUUGUUGAAUGACCUCGUUGACUUGUUUAUGUGCUAUUGAAGCUUUGAUAUUUAUUUGUGAUUGUAUUUUAGGUUUUGAUAUUAUUUUGUUUGUGCUUGGAGCAUUCAACCCCAAAGGAUGUUCUGUAUUCUUCAAAUUACAUAAAUGUUAAUGGAACCAUUAAGCUCUUAUAUGGA